rnacentral:lncRNA from 1 species
UGGCUCCAGAGCCCUUCAAACGAUGCCAUGGGAAUGGAUGGGGGUCACUAGCCUCCCUAUUGUGACUCGUUUGAGCUCUUAGCCCGGCGUGUAGUCUGGCGGGAGCCGUCCCUGGAUGGGGGUCACUAGCCUCCCCAUUGUGACUCGUUUGAGCUCUUAGCCAGGCGUGUAGUCUGGCGGGAGCCGUCGCGGCUGGCUCGGCAGCUCCAGGCUAUUCCGAGGAACAGUCUUCAGAGAGCCUGGGGUGCUGAUGGGGAAAAGCUGUUGCUGAGAUUUGACAAGUUUGGUCCUGAGAUGUCAGAAAGGAUUUCAGCUCUUCUGCCACCCCAAGGACGGUGGCGCGUAAAUCACAAGGACAAUGAAUCCAGGCAGUGAUCCACCAAUGAUAACUAACAUCAUAAAAAGAUACAUGGCCGGAUAUGAUGUUCCUUCUGACGGAAGACCACAACACCUGCUGAAAAAUCAAAUCUGAAUCGGAUCAAGCCUCUAGAGGAGGCAGCACCCAGGGUCAUUCCUGGAGCAUAAACGAUCCCUGCAGAACAUGGGCUAGAAGACCCCACAGUGGGGCAGAGGCAGGUCCUGGACUGGGAUCCCAGCAGUGAGAAGACCUGGACAUCAACCCUAUUUCAUUGUGCCUCUGCAAAUCUCCCAACUUUUGGAGCUGUAGCUGCAAGCUCAGACUUGUGGUUUCCUGUACCUGGAGGAGGCCCAGGUCAUUCUGUUAAGUCCCUUGUCUAUUUCCUGCUUUUAUCUGGAUGCUGAGUUAAUUAUUUGAUCCAACAAUAAAACUAACAAGGUUUUAUUUGUUUUUAAUGUCUUCUCUUUGCUGAACGCUGUGCUGGGUGCUGUAGCUGACA